rnacentral:rRNA from 1 species
AGUACGGCGAGUGAAGCGGGAUGAGCUCAAAUUUAAAAUCUGGCGGCCUCAGGUCGUCCGAGUUGUAGUCUAGAGAAUCGUUUUCCGCGUUGGCCUGUGUACAAGUCCCUUGGAACAGGGCGUCAUAGAGGGUGAGAAUCCCGUCCUUGACACAGAUUACCAAUGCUUUGUGAUGCGAUCUCGAAGAGUCGAGUUGUUUGGGAAUGCAGCUCAAAAUGGGUGGUAAAUUCCAUCUAAAGCUAAAUAUUGGCGAGAGACCGAUAGCGAACAAGUACCGUGAGGGAAAGAUGAAAAGCACUUUGGAAAGAGAGUUAAACAGUACGUGAAAUUGUUAAAAGGGAAACGAUUGAAGUCAGUCAUGCUUUCCGAGACUCAGCCGAUUCUGUCGGUGUACUUCUCGGUUGGCAGGCCAGCAUCAGUUUCGAUCUGUGGAAAAGGUUGGAGGGAACGUGGCAUCCUCGGAUGUGUUAUAGCCCUUCUUCGAAUACAUAGAGCGGGACUGAGGAACGCAGCGCGCCUUUUAUUAGGUUGGCCCUCGGGUACAUACGCGCUUAGGAUGCUGGCAUAAUGGCUUUAAACGACCCGUCUUGAAACACGGACC